rnacentral:lncRNA from 1 species
GUCACGAAGUGCGAAUGAACUCGGGAGCAUAUGGGUUGGGAAGCAAGCUUCUUAAGAUAGAAACACGCCUGCGAUUGAGGGAGGGAUGCGCGCGCGAGCGCGUGUGUAUGUGUUUGCAUGUAUGUAUGUAUAUUUAUGUUGUAAAGUUGAAUCUAUACACAGUUUAUUUAUUAAAGUUUUGAGCUGACAGCUUCCGUGUCAUAUGACAUUUGAAGAAGCCUGAACAGGGUGAAACUCUCAGCAAACGUAUCUACUUGAUUCUUUAUGUUGAAUACUCUCUAAAUUGCAACAAACAAGCAUUUGGCAGAUCUCUCUCUUUACUCUUUUACUCUUUUACUUGUUUCAGUCAUUUGACUGCGGCCAUGCUAGAGCACCGCCUUUAGUCGAUCAAAUCGACCCCGGGACUUAUUCUCUGUAAGCCCAGUACUUAUUCUAUCGGUCUCUUUUGCCGAACCGCUAAGUGACGGGGACGUAAACACACCAGCAUCGGUUGUCAAGCAAUGCUAGGGGGACAAACACAGACACACACAUAUAUAUAUAAAUAUAUAUACAUAUAUACGACAGGCUGCUUUCAGUUCCCGUCUACCAAAUUCACUCACAAGACAUUGGUCGGCCCGGGGCUAUAGCAGAAGACACUUGCCCAAGAUGCCACGCAGUGGGACUGAACCCGCAACCAUGUGGUUGGUUAGCAAGCUACUUACCACACAGUCACUCCUGCGCCUAUUAUUUUUCUUUUAAUUGAACAUUCUUUUCUACUCUAGGCACAACGCCUGGAAUUUUGGGGGAGGGGGCCAGUCGAUUAGGUCGACCCCAGUACGCAACUGGUACUUAAUUCAUCAACCCCGAAAGGAUAAAAGGUAAAGUCGACCUCAGCGGAAUUUGAACUCAGAAUGUAAAGAUAGACGAAAUACCUAUUUCUUUACUACCCACAAGGGGCUAAACACAGAGAGGACAAACAAGGACAGACAAACGGAUCAAGUCCAUUAGAUCGACCCCAGUGCGCAACUGGUACUUAAUUUAUUGACCCCGAAAGGACAAAAGGCAAAGUCGACCUCGGCGGAAUUUGAACUCGGAACGUAACAGCAGACGAAAUACUGCUUAGCAUUUCGCCCGGCGUGCAAACAUUUCUGCCAGCUCGCCGCCUUCUUUUAAUUUGAACAUUGUUAAAUGCAUAUAUGUACGUAUGUCUGUUUGCCUGUCUGUAUGUCAUAUGAUUUCUUGUCAAUAUAACAUCUUUUCGAUUUGCAUCCGUCAUCUCAUGGCAUACACCCUCGCACAUACUGUGUAUGUGUGUGUGUGUGUGUGUGUGUGUGUGUGUGUGUGUGUGUGUGUGUGUGUGUGUGUGUGUGUGUGUCUGCGUUGCGUGUGUACGUAUAUAACUGAACCUCUUUUGACUUUGGGUAUAUUGCAGCUGUUUGGUUUGGUAAAACUCGUUGAAUGAUAGGGUACGUGGAUGAAUAUUCUACAGGUUGUUAACUGAAGUUUCAAGCAGAGUUACUGUGACAGUGCUGGCCGGUGGAAUAAUCGGUAUGAUUCAUCUGAUGGGCUUCCUCGCACUUUCCAUCGACCCAUUUUCGCAUACAAGUUUUAGUAUAUAUAUAUAUAUAUAUAUAUAUAUAUAUAUAUAUAUAUAUAUAUAUAUAACGUACUUCUCUGCGUUGUCAUACGAUGGGAUCAAAUCUGAGAUCUCGCGAAACGAAUUUUUUUAAUCCCAUGCAUGCAAAUAUGCAUUUGCGCGUACACUCACACGCACGCGCGCGCAUUCAAACUCGAAAUGUCUUACCAAAAGACACUGGACUUUCCAAACCAGUAAAACCGUUACUGUACAAAUGCACUGAAUAUUUCCUUUGAGGUAAUCGCACUCAAGUACAGUUUACAUAAUCUUAGUUUAGUUGCUCUCUCCGAACGAUCCCUUUCUUCCACUCGCUGAACUCUUUGAUCCGAUACUAUUGCGAGCAUUGACCUCGUGUCUCACAUGUACGAGAGCUCCAACCUCUCAUGGCUUUUAACAUAUUGUCUAAGGCUUGAAAAUGCUUAGCACGCUGCCAGCGCUGCAUAAUUAUUGUGCGGCCCUGUUAAUUCAUGGCCAACUCAUUUCAAUUUACUUCUUCUUAGUACAUCGAUACGAUACACGUGAAAAAAGUUUUUCUUUAUUUCAAUGUCCGUUUCUUAAUAACACUUAAUAUAAAGAAUACUAUUUAGUAGCAUUUGAAAAAAAUUCUUGUCUGCGUGCCACUUUGGAUUUUAGGGACACGCUUCCGAGGCAUAGGUUGCGAUAGAGAGAAUAAAGAUUGAGAUCCCGCCAAUUCCAGCAUAAGCUUUGUGAGAUGUUCUACUUCAGAACUGUCUUCUGUGAUCAUUUAUUUGCUUGAUCAAACAAUGUUACACUCCGUACCAUUUACUUCCAUGCACUUUGUAUAUGCUUUGGCUAACUGAGCGACAAGCAAAAAUAAAUUGGUUGCCAUGAAACAACUAUUGAGUGAUCAUCGGAGAAUUUCAAUGCUUAAGUUAAAGACUAAUGCAAAAGCCGGCUAAGUGGGACAGAAAAUAUGUUUUCGGAGCAACAAACGAAAGAGGAAUGGAGCUGCUACAGUUUUGUAGAAUAAAUGGCCUCAUGGUGAUAAAUAUCUCGUUCCACCACUCAAUAUAUAUAUAAAAAAGUUAACAUGGGUUUCACUAUAAUCAGUGAUUCAGGUAGCCAUCUUUCAAAAGCAGAAGAGCAUACUACUCAAUUAAGAUAGGUUUUGAUUAUUCUGUUCUUAGCCAAACGUUUGUAAAUAGCAAAGAAGAGAAAAGAUUAAUGAUGCCAAAACAAUAUGAUGAGUAUAAAAUCUGAAAUAUAUACAGAGGAGUCGCUUUCACACCUUCGCUAUGGCUGCAAACUGAUGUCAAUAGACAAAGUGUAUGUGUCUUUCAAAGAAAAAGAAAAAACAACAACUAAAGAAAAUGUCAGCUUUAGAGAAAUAUUGAAAACAAGUAACGAGUUUGCUAUCAGAAUAGAGACAGUCAUUGAGCAGAGGCGAAAAGCCAGAAUAGAGCAGAAAUACUGGAAAACCCAGAUGAUAUUAUCAAAGUAGAACGAUAAAAGAACUUAACAAAGCAGUCAAACAGCAGUGAAAAUACAAAAGAACUAGAACUUACAAAGGAAGAAAAAAAAACUACUAAAAGCUGACUUUAAGAACAAUUAUAGUUACAUCCUUUUCAAGACAGUUUUUAAAAAGGAGGGAAAGCAAAUAAAAACGCACCACGCAAUAAAAGAAAAAGACAGUUACAUACAUAUACACACAUGUACAUACGUACGUACGUACGUAUGUAUGUAUGUAUGUAUGUAUGUAUGUAUGUCAUUAUUCAGUUUAUUUCAAGAUUUCUUGCCAAUAAAGAACCGGGUUCGAACCUAGAUCUAAGGCUCCUUCAUUGAAAUUUCAACAUCAACAACAGGGUAUUUUUGUAUGUAUGUAUAUAUGUGCAGAUUUGUAUGUUUUAUGUGCGUAUUCUCAUGCAUAUAGUUGCAUAUCUAGACAUGCUCAUAUAUAUUUAAACUAUAAACUUCUGGAAAGUUUUACAAAUUUUUACAGUUCCAGUGAUGGAUUAGAUCUGUAGUCUUCGAAUUAGCUUUCUCCUUUCUGGUUUUGAGAAGCCUAAUUUCUCAAGAUUGGUAUUUAGGCAGUGUGUUACAUAUCCCGGGGCUCCUAUGAUUACAGGUAUAAACCUGAACUUGUAAUCUGGAUAGAGUAACGGCAGAGUUAUCAAUAGUUCAGCAUAGGUGUUCUCUUUUUCACCCAUCUUCAUCUUUAUGUUAACAUCUGCCGGGCAGCUAAUUUCCACAACUGUGCACAGUUUCUCUUCUCUAUCCCAAAUCGUUAUAUCAGGUGUGUUUUGCUUACAUUUCAUUGAGGUUUACACUGGGACAUUCCACCAGUAUUCUUUUUAUUAUGAGUGGCUAUGGCAUCUACUAUAUUGUGGUUCUUAUUUCGUUGUCCUCGGGAUUAUCCUUCCUACGGAUUUCAUUAUAGAGUGUCCUAGCUAAAACAUCAUAUCUCAUCGGUAGAUAACAACGUGAUGACAUUUUCAGACAAUUUCUUAUGAUGUGGGUGAUAUCUUCUGUGUGAACUCCAAAAAGUCUGCCUCGGUUGUCACAUUUUACUGCCUUGCCUGCAUCUCUCUCUCUCCCUUUUGUGUAUCAAGUACUUGGUGGAUAUUUUUUGCUCCUGGAUUGCAAACGCAUACCCUUCAAAGUGGGAGGUAGUAAUUCGGCUAUUGGUCCAUGAUAGACUGCUUUGAUGAUUGAUGUUACUAUCACCACGGAGCUUUCUACUAAUAUAUCCAUGCAUAAUAUAGGCUCUUCCUUUCAUCUGAUGAUAGGUUGCGGUAGAGUCGUGCAACUUCUUUGGGUAUGUAUUCUAGGUUAUCAGACAAAGAGUAUUGCUCAAGGAGCUGCCUUCCAAGUCUUAUGUAUGUAUGUAGGUAUGUAUGUAUGUAUGUAUGUAUGUAUACACGCAUGCAUAUACACACGUAAGCGUCGGUGUUUGUCUUGAAAUAAAAAUUGUUUAUCAAAAAAAGUUUUGUUAUAUUUGUCUGGAAGAUCCAGUUACAACAUGGACAAAUGCAAAAGCAGAUAAUCCGGGGUCUGAGGUGCCGUUAGGCUAAAAACAAGGAUUGAUCAAGAAAGGAGCCGUAGGGAAUACUCGAAGUUGAAAUGGAUUAUUUGAGCAGAAGUGUUAGAGUAAGGCACUGAUUGAAACGUUACCCAUUCACGUUAGACUCGAUUUUCUUUGUCCUUCGGCUUUUCUUUAAUCUGUCUAUGUCUUUCUUUUUCUCUCUCUUUCAUUCACACACACACUUUCUCUCUCUCUUGCCCCCCCCCCCCCACACAGUAUUUAUUUGGAAUGCUGCUUUUAUUAAAAACUCCACAUUUAAAAGUCAUAUUUGUGAAAAGUCAGUAUGCUGUUUCAAAUACCAAGCAAGUAGAAAAUAACUUAUUCUUUGUUUUACAUUUGGAUUUCUUUAUAUUUUUAAAUCAUAAGGCGGUGAUCUGGCAGAAACGUUAGCAUGCCGGGCGAAAUGCGUAGCCGUAUUUCGUCUGUCGUUACGUUCUGAGUUAAAUUCUGCCGAGGUCGACUUUGCCUUUCAUCCUUUCGGGGUCGAUAAAUUAAUACCAGUUGUGCACUGGAGUCGAUGUAAUCGACUUAAUCCCUUUGUCUGUCCUUGUUUGUUCCCUCUGUGUUUAGCCCCUUGUGGGUAGUAAAGAAAUAUAUAUUUUUAAAUCAUUCAAGAUUUAUGCUUUCUAGACUGGACUCUUAAUUUUUAUGAUGUAUGAAUAUAUUUCAAAUAUAAAAGUCAACAGUCCAAUUUGUAGAGUAUGGUACCUGAAUAUUUUAGAAGAACAGAGAAACGACGAGCUUAUCCAAACGGGGUACGGAUCUGGUCAUACUGUAGUAAUUUGAUGUUAACGCUGUUAACGAGAUUCUCAAUUCUCUUGGAGCCAUUAAUGUUUACCUAUCAAUCUGCAAGUGGCAAUAGCGAGUAUCUAUUAUGUUGCUACGAAUGUCGGAUGAACUAAAAUUUUGUAACGAUACAAGACAAGCUGUCAAAACUCUUAUCAUUAUGACUGGUUGGAGCAGAGAAUGUUUUCCUUCCACGCGUUGCUCUAAGCCCAUCAGACACGCCAUUUUAGUUCAAGCAAAUACGGUUUCCAGUGACAUUGUCUUUUUCUAUGACCCUCAACGUAUCUCAGGAAUAGUCACUCAGAUUUGCUGAAGCUGAACUAACGAGUUGGUGCUUCUCUCAUAGUCAGCUGUAUUUAGUUGAGCCAAAUCAAGAAUAAAAAAGAUGUUUUGCACCCAAGAGCUCUGUGUAAAACACAUUUCUGUUAAAAAUGUUCUGUUUUCCACAUCAAGAAUUACACGAAAAUGUAUAAAGUAAAACAUAAAAAGCCGUGUUUUCUUAAGUCAUAAAAAUUAACAAUAAACACAGUUUCAUAAUCUUUGCACAAAAUAGAAAUCUGGGAAACUUUAAUUGUAGACAUGUUUGUGCAUUAUACUGUAUGUAAUACUAAUGAAACUUGCAGUAAGUUGAAUCCUUCAAGUUGAAAAUGUUUCUUCAUAUUCAGCAGGUACCUCUGCUGCUAAUGGGUGCGUGCGCGAAGGAAGGGUGUAAUUAGUGGAAGGAAAUGGCGAAAGUUUUGGACAUGCCCUUAUUUUGAAAAAUGAUCUGGGGAAUGAAUGUAGGGUAUAGAACUGAGAAUCGAUUAAAGAUAGAUAUGUAAAAUCUGUUUGGAUACAUAGGCAUGCGCACGCAUGCAUCCAUACAUUUAUACAUACAUGCACACAUACAUGCACACACACACACACACACGCACACACAUAUUGACUCGCACAAACAUACAUGCAUAUAUACAUACAUGCGCACAUACAUAAUGCAGGCAUAUAUACGUACACACAUACAUAUACAUAUACACAAACAAACAACCAUUCAUACGCACACACAAAAGCUUCAUCGCUGGAAGGACAGAUCAGUAACAUACUCCUAGAUACACUUUUCCUGAAAUAAAGACCGAACAACCAGAUUCGUUUCUAUUCUAGGAACAAGGCCCGAAAUUUUGGGGCAAGGGGCCAGUCGAUUAGAUCGAUCUCAGUACGCAACUGGUAUUUGAUUUAUCGACCCCGAAAGGAUGAAAGGCAAAGUCGACCUCGGCGGAAUUUGAACUCGGAACGUAACAGCAGACGAAAUACUGGUAAGCAUUUCGCCCGGCGCGCUAACGAUUCUGCCAGCUCGUCGCCUCACCGCGCGGCCAGAUUAUAGAUCAUAGGUUUACUCAUUGAGAGUACAACUGCGGCUAAGCAGCAGCAGCAGAAACUACAAGUUCACUCCCAAAGACCACUUAGACCCGAAACUAUCUAUCUAUCUAUCUAUCUAUCUAUCUAUCUAUCUAUCUAUCCAUCUAUCUAUCUAUCAUAUAUAUGUGUGUGUGUGUGCGUGGAUAUAUAUAUAUAUAUAUAUAUAUAUAUAUAUAUAUAUAUAUAUAUAUAUAUAGAUUGGGUUGUAAUUUGCUUAUUCCAGUAAUCCAAAUAAUAUUUAGAUAUUGUAUUUGUGUGAGGUAUGCUGUAAAAUAUUUUUGCUGAUUAAAUCAUAUAUUUAAACAAGAGACUGAACAAAAUGUUUUGGUAUUAUCUAUUCAUUAUUACACAUGUUUCAUUUGCCAAUGGGAGUUGCAAAAUUGUACAUUUAGCAAAAUUCUGUAAGAUAUCACCCUCUAGAAAUUCUUCAAACAUAGAAUCAAAUAAUAUUAACUGAUUCUCUAUCUGAAGAAUUUCUAAUAUGAGUUAUUUAGUUACCUUACAUAGUUAUCUAACAUGUAAAAUUUCGUAACUCCUACUAGCAAAUGAAACACGUGUACUGGAAAAUAAAUAAUACCAAAGACUCCUGUUUUAUUCUAUACUAGGUUGUAUGAAAAAGUUGCUGGACUAGUUCUGUAGCACGCAAACAGAUGACCGUACACGAUGGGGUGUGCAGUGAGAGCUAGCAGCGAACUUCAUGAGGCAGUGUAGAAAGGAACAUUGCUGUGUUUACUUUACUAGUUGUGAAAUCGAGAGUUCUACUGUGACGUUCUGAAGUGUUUGAGGGGAGGACAUUCGGCGAAAUCGAUCGGAUUUGUGCAGCGCGAAGAAUUGGAUUCUUCACGACGACAUUGCACUGUGCCACCGAACUCUCCUUACUCGUGAGAUUCUCGUCAAAAACAUGGUAUUGCUUCCGCACCAGUCCUGUUCGCGAAAUUUAGCACUUGUGGACUUCCAUCUCUUCCCCAAGAUAAAAAUGCAGCUCAAAGGUCGUCGUUUUAAUACUGAUGUCGAGAUCCAGAGCGAAUCGCAGAAGGUCCUCGACUCGCUGACGGAAAAUAACUUCCAGACCGAAUUCCAGAAGUAGCAGGAACGCUGGGAUCGGUAUACCGCUGCGCAAGGUGACAGUUUCGAAGGUUUGGGGGUAGGGUGGGGUAUGUGGGUGUAUAUAUAUAUAUAUAUAUAUAUAUAUAUAUAUUUCGUUAUUGAGAGAGAUGCAAGAUAGAAGACACGAGAAUUUUUAUUAAUGACUACAAUUGUUUAGAUUCAUCUAGCAUCGAUCCCUCACUGGUGGGAUACUUCACAACUGGUUCAGGAGCAUCCGACGGUGUAGAUGUGUCUCUUCGGGUAAUAAAUAAAUGUAACUCAUUGAAAUAACUGCAAGAUAUCUUCUCACUUCAUGUAAAGAAAAUCAGCAUAUUAAAUGAUAUGGCUUCAUUUAUAAAGAAGAUCAAUAAUAAAUAAAAAAAAAAGAUAACAGAUGCAAAAAAGAAACGAAUACACAAUGCAGCGAAAAAGUAUUAAAUAUAACCGUUAACGGAUGUGGAUAUAUAAACGCCCUCCCGUAGCUUGUAUGGUGCAUGUACACUCGCGCAUACAAAUAUCUACGAAGAUAUAAACAUACGCACACAUGUGGUUUGGUGCACAUAUAUUUAUAUAGCAAAUUAAAUAGCUACUUGGUGUUUAUAAGAAUGGGAAGGUUAGAGCUAAAUUUAAUUCAUCCAUACCUUAAAGAGUAUUAUGAUUAUUGAUUAGGUUAAAAAUUACAUAAAUUCAUUACCACUACAUUGUGCGAAAGUGCAUUUAUAUGCAUGUAUGCAUCUUGCGAGUCUUCCAGAAAUUCUAUUAACGAUCUUCUCAUUGGUUCGCAGAAUAGACAGGGAUUCCUCGGAGCCGAGUCGGCAUCUCCUUGAAACGAUAUUAUAUGGUUUUACUUGCCUUACUAUGGACCAAGUUAUGUUAUACUUAAUUUUCUCUUCCUUAAGUUGCCACACAAAAUCGGCCAAAGAUGCUGAAUGUCUCUUGAUGAUUUUCUUAAAGCUGGCAACAUGGUUGCGAUAACGAUUCUUGAAUGAAUCAGCCGUUCUCCCAAUGUAAACAUACGGUGCCCGCCUAGUGUGUAUAGUACAUUUAUAUACAAGAUUUGUACUCAUACAGAGGUUCAUCAACGGGCAUCUUGAUUUUUCACUGAAUAAGCAUUUGUUAUAUUUAGUUGCAUAUGUGGCAGUUCUGACUUCAUUUCCCGACGUUGUUGCCGUAUUAGCUAUUUCACUAUUAUUGCUACUAUCACGAUAUGGCCGUAUCUGGUGCUUUUCAUUGUGGUUUACAUCUCCUUUCUUGGUAUUUUGAUGUAUAUGUUCACUAGUUCUUGUAGAUGGGGUAUUGAACUGUUGUUUCAUUUUACUAUCAUUAAUGCGGUGCAUCUGCUGCUCUAAGUUAAUAGAGUUAGCGUAAGAUACCUUCACAGUGUGUCUAUUAAAAAUAGCAUGGCAUCUAUUUGAUUUGGAGAAACGUUUGUCCAAAGUGGCAAAAGAUUCCUUAGCGAUCUUCGUUGAAACAUAUGAACCGAGGAUUGGGUUGCGGAACUGUUAUGUUAACGAGUUAUUUCUAUUUAUCACCCGAAGAGACACAUCUACACCGACGGAUGCUCCUGAACCAGUUAUUAAGUAUCACACCCGUAAAGGAUCGAUGUAAGAUGGAUCGAAACAAUUGUAGUGAUAAAUAAAAAUUCUCGUAUUUUCUAUCUUCCGUCUCUCUCAUUAACCAAAUACGCAGUGAACAGCGAGACAGUGAACGUGCUUUAUCGGUAAUCUACCAGGUAUAUACCACAAUAUAUAACACAACAAGGAGAAAACGAGAAACUAGAUGAAAACUUAAGGAACGGGAAUUUUAGACAAAGACACGAAACACGGAAUAUUCGCAGCUGAGAUUUCCUUGUCAGUCAAUGGCGCAAAAUAUCAUUGUGGUUUCAUAAAGUUAAUUUGUUAGUCUUCAUCCGGUUUACUUUUGUAAAAAUAUAACUGAAUUUAAAUUGAAAAACGUUUAGUAUGAGUGAGCUAAGUUAUUCUCAUUUUUUUUUUUUUUUUUUUUUUUUGUCAAGGUCCUGCGAUACUUCUGAAAACAACUUU